CCUACGGGAGGCAGCAGUGGGGGAUAUUGCACAAUGGGGGAAACCCUGAUGCAGCGACGCCGCGUGGGCGAAGAAGUAUUUCGGUAUGUAAAGCUCUAUCAGCAGGGAAGAAGAAAUGACGGUACCUUAGUAAGAAGCACCGGCCAAAUACGGUCCAGCCACCGAGGUAAUUCGUAGGGUGCAAGCGUUAUCCGGCUUUACUGGGUGUAAAGGGAACGGAGGCGGGAAGGGAAGACUGAUGUGAAAGCCCGGGGCCCAACCGCGGGACUGCCCUGGGAACUACUGAGCUUGAGUGCCGGAGAGGGAAGCGGAAGUCCUAGUGUAGCGGUGAAAUGCGUAGAUAUUAGGAGGAACACCAGUGGCGAAGGCGGCCUACUGGACGGUGACUGACGCUGAGGCUCGAAAGCGUGGGGAGCAAACAGGAUUAGAUACCCCAGUAGUC
rnacentral:rRNA from 1 species